rnacentral:lncRNA from 1 species
CAGCACUAGACCCACCAGGCUUGGUGGCCAUAGCGGUAGCUCAUGCAUUUGCGUUGUUUGUUGGGGUAGCCAUUGCAGCCAACAUCUCAGGUGGUCAUUUGAACCCAGCCGUCACCUUUGGUUUGGCCAUCGGAGGAAACAUCACCAUCUUGACCGGCCUUUUCUACUGGGUUGCCCAAUGCCUUGGCUCAAUUGUUGCUUGCCUUCUUCUCCAGUUUGUUACCAACGGAUUGGUAAGGGAUAAUCUAACUCGAUUUGAUCAUAAAAAGUCUACAACCCAAACAUGUCAAACUCGAAACUUGAAAUUGACCUCCAAAAUCACUCGAAACCCAAAACGACCUGAACUCAAAAUAACCUUAGCACAUAACUCAAAAUGACCUGAACUAGAAGUGAUCAAAACUUAAAAUGAUUAGAAUAUUAAAUGAUCAGACUCGAAAAACUCAAACCUCAAAUCUAAAUAACCUAAACUCAAAAUAACAUGAACCCAAAAUGUUCAAAAUUAACUUUAACCCGAAAGACCUCAACCGGAAUGAUUAGAAAACCUUAAAAUCUAAAUGGAUUCUAUCUAGAUUGACUAGACUUAAAACCAUGACAUUCUCAACUUACAAUUAGAAGUGUGCAUAAGUUUAGCAACUAGGUUGACUUAAUUCUUUUUAGACAGGGUUUGGGUUUAUAUUUUUCAAAUCCGGCCUAGUUCAAUCAUUUUUAACUUAAAGAAUAAAAUAGACUAUUUGAGUGGAUCUAAACAAACUAAGCUUAAACUCGAGUUUAUAAAUUUUUUGAAAUCGGACUUUAAAUUAGUCUAACUCGAUCCAUAAACGCAUAUUUGGACCCUAUUAUUAAUUUUCAAUGUAUUAAAUAUGUUUGCAGAGUGUACCAACCCACGGUGUCGCUUCAGGAAUGAAUGCCGUCGGAGGUGUUGUAAUGGAGAUCGUAAUCACUUUCGCGUUAGUCUACACCGUCUACGCCACCGCAGCUGAUCCCAAAAAGGGUUCUCUAGGAAUCAUAGCACCCAUUGCCAUUGGUUUCAUC